UACGUAAGGCGCGAGCGUUGUCCGGAAUUAUUGGGCGUAAAGAGCUCGUAGGCGGCCUGUUGCGUCCGCUGUGAAAUCCCGGGGGCUCAACCCCGGGCUUGCAGUGGAUACGGGCUGGCUAGAGGCAGGCAGGGGAGAACGGAAUUCCCGGUGUAGCGGUGAAAUGCGCAGAUAUCGGGAGGAACACCGGUGGCGAAGGCGGUUCUCUGGGCCUGUACUGACGCUGAGGAGCGAAAGCGUGGG
rnacentral:rRNA from 1 species